rnacentral:rRNA from 1 species
UGGGGAAUAUUGCACAAUGGGCGAAAGCCUGAUGCAGCGACGCCGCGUGAGGGAUGACGGCCUUCGGGUUGUAAACCUCUUUCAGCAGGGACGAAGCGCAAGUGACGGUACCUGCAGAAGAAGCACCGGCUAACUACGUGCCUGCAGCCGCGGUAAUACGUAGGGUGCAAGCGUUGUCCGGAAUUACUGGGCGUAAAGAGUUCGUAGGCGGUUUGUCGCGUCGUUUGUGAAAACCAGCAGCUCAACUGCUGGCUUGCAGGCGAUACGGGCAGACUUGAGUACUGCAGGGGAGACUGGAAUUCCUGGUGUAGCGGUGAAAUGCGCAGAUAUCAGGAGGAACACCGGUGGCGAAGGCGGGUCUCUGGGCAGUAACUGACGCUGAGGAACGAAAGCGUGGGUAGCGAACAGG